UACGUAGGGUGCGAGCGUUGUCCGGAAUUAUUGGGCGUAAAGAGCUCGUAGGCGGUUUGUUGCGUCGGCUGUGAAAACCUGCGGCUUAACUGUGGGCUUGCAGUCGAUACGGGCAGACUUGAGUUCGGCAGGGGAGACUGGAAUUCCUGGUGUAGCGGUGAAAUGCGCAGAUAUCAGGAGGAACACCGGUGGCGAAGGCGGGUCGCUGGGCCGAUACUGACGCUGAGAGGCGAAAGCGUGGGGAGCGAGCGGG
rnacentral:rRNA from 1 species